UUAAAAUUGUUGCAGUUAAAACGCUCGUAGUUGAAUUUCAAAGAAUCAAUAUUUUAAGUAAUGCUUUUGGUUUAAGAUGCUUAGGCAAUACAACGUAUCUGCUCUUUGCAUUCCUUAUCCAAAAUGUGUUCUUAUUAUAAAAAGGAUUCUUUUUAAAAUCUCCUUUACUUUCUUGUACAGUAGAUUUUGUUACUUUGAGUAAAUUAGAGUGUUCAAAGCAAACAGUUAAAGCAUUUUACUGCGUUUGAAUACUACAGCAUGGAAUAACAAAAUUGAACAAGUCAAAACUCUGUUCCUUUUUCUUAUUUUGGCUUAGUUACGAUUAAUAGGAGUAGCUUGGGGGCAUGUGUAUUCAGAUGUCAGAGGUGAAAUUCUUAGAUUUUCUGGAGACAAACAACUGCGAAAGCACUUGCCUAAAAUACUUCCAUUAAUCAAGAACGAAAGUUAAGGGAGUGAAGACGAUCAGAUACCGUCGUAAUCUUAACCAUAAACUAUGCCGACUAGGUUUUGGAUGAAAGAUUUUUAAAUAAGAAAAUUCCUUUUGGAAAUUUCUUAGAUUGCUUCCUUCAGUACCUUAUGAGAAAUCAAAGUCUUUGGGUUCUGGGGCGAGUAUUCGCGCAAGCGAGAAAGUUAAAAGAAUUGACGGAAGGGCACCACCAGGCGUGGAGCUUGCGGCUUAAUUUGACUCAACACGGGGAAACUCACUAGUUUAAGACAAGAGUAGGAUUGACAGAUUAAUAGCUCUUUCUUGAUUUCUUGGAUGGUGAUGCAUGGCCGUUUUUAGUUCGUGAAUAUGAUUUGUCUGGUUAAUUCCGAUAACGAACGAGAUCUUAACCUGCUAAUUAGCGGCGAAUACGUUAUAUUCCUACUUGAAAUUGAAUAUAGCUGAAUUUGCUUAUUUUGAAGAAUAUAUUAGGAUGCAUUAUAGUGUCCUUUUCCCUUUUCUACUUAAUUCGCUAUUCAUGCUGUUUCUUUUUUGUGCAGGAAUGUAUUCGUUUGAUUGUAAAGCUUCUUAGAGGAACGAUGUGUGUAUAACACAAGGAAGUUUAAGGCAACAACAGG
rnacentral:rRNA from 1 species